rnacentral:rRNA from 1 species
UACGUAGGGAGCAAGCGUUGUCCGGAAUCAUUGGGCGUAAAGCGCGCGUAGGUGGCCUCAUAAGUCCGUUGUGAAAGUCAAAGGCUCAACCUUUGAAAGCCGAUGGAUACUGUGAGACUAGAGUACGGAAGAGGCGAGUGGAAUUCCUGGUGUAGCGGUGGAAUGCGCAGAUAUCAGGAGGAACACCAAUAGCGAAGGCAGCUCGCUGGGACGUUACUGACACUGAGGCGCGAAAGCGUGGGGGGCGAACAGG